GGACCCCCGGGUCUGCAGGGUUCAGAUGGAGGGACAGGGAAGCCGGGGCCCAGGGGAAGCAGAGGGCCUCUGGGGACACAAGGUCCUGACGGACCAGCAGGAACCCCAGUGAGUGGGUACUUUCCAGCCGCUGCUCUCUUCUCCUCUAAACAACCUCUGAGGACUGUAACCUCUAGAACCUCUGUAUAAUCUCGUAAGGGGCAUUGAUGCCUGUUGGAUGGAUUUCUUGUCAGGGUUCAGUAGGUGAAAUCAAUCAAUGUAUUCGUAAUUGAUUAGAUGGCUUACGAUUCGUCACUCAUCGGAUGCUUAUUUGGCAUGGUUUGGGAUACCAAGCGCAGCUCUUUAGCCAUGUUUCAGUGUGCUGUGUUGUCCACCAUUUUAAACUCUAUGUGGUCCAAUUCCCAGGGAAUUUCAGGUGCUGGUGGACUCAUAGGACCAGCAGGGGAAAGAGGAGAAAUGGUAAGUACAGCAAAUAUAAUGAGACAAUGAUAAUAAUAUGUCUAGGAAUGCAAAACUCCGGUAACUUUCCCCAAAAUGUUCCGGUUUUCAAGAUAUCCUAGUUGGAGGAUUCCGGAUUUCCUGCUUCUUCCUACUGAUUUGGAAAAGUUGCCGGAAUUCUGCAACCCUAAAUAUGAUCUAGCAAUGUUUGAUGUGCUGUGUGUUAAACCACACUGUUUUUGGAACAUGACAGGGUAUGCUGGGACCUCCUGGUGAUCUUGGUCCUUCGGGACUGGAUGGGGAACAGGGUAGUCCUGGCCAAUCAGGGUUAGAGGGGCCACCAGGAACGAAAGGGGAACAGGUCAGGGAUACUGACACAAUGAUGCCUCUACAAACACAUGGUUUAAAUAUAUUUUUCACCUCUCAAUACUUCUUCUACUUCACAUGUAUUCUAGGGGGACCUAGGGCCUUGUGGGAAGUUUGGUCCUCCAGGGCAGCCUGGAGAUCGAGGUCUACAGGGGCUCAAAGGGUUGCAAGGCUCUCAUGGACAAAUAGGAAAAGAGGGUGAUGUCGGACCUACUGGCGAUGCUGGUGGUCCAGGUUUCAAAGGGGAGAAGGUAAACAAACACUGACUUUUCAGCAC
rnacentral:lncRNA from 1 species